rnacentral:rRNA from 1 species
GGGGAAUAUUGGACAAUGGGCGCAAGCCUGAUCCAGCCAUACCGCGUUGGUGAAGAAGGCCUUCGGGUUGUAAAGCCCUUUUGUUGGGAAAGAAAUCCAGCCGGCUAAUACCUGGUUGGGAUGACGGUACCCAAAGAAUAAGCACCGGCUAACUUCGUGCCAGCAGCCGCGGUAAUACGAAGGGUGCAAGCGUUACUCGGAAUUACUGGGCGUAAAGCGUGCGUAGGUGGUUAUUUAAGUCCGUUGUGAAAGCCCUGGGCUCAACCUGGGAACUGCAGUGGAUACUGGAUGACUAGAAUGUGGUAGAGGGUAGCGGAAUUCCUGGUGUAGCAGUGAAAUGCGUAGAGAUCAGGAGGAACAUCCAUGGCGAAGGCAGCUACCUGGACCAACAUUGACACUGAGGCACGAAAGCGUGGGGAGCAAACA